UACGUAGGGACCAAGCGUUGUUCGGAUUUACUGGGCGUAAAGGGCGCGUAGGCGGCGUGACAAGUCAGUUGUGAAAUCUCCGAGCUUAACUCGGAACGGUCAACUGAUACUGUUGUGCUAGAGUGCAGAAGGGGCAAUCGGAAUUCUUGGUGUAGCGGUGAAAUGCGUAGAUAUCAAGAGGAACACCUGAGGUGAAGACGGGUUGCUGGGCUGACACUGACGCUGAGGCGCGAAAGCGUGGGGGAGCAAACGGGG
rnacentral:rRNA from 1 species